GGUAAAAUGGCUGAGUAGAGCAUUGGACUGUAAAUCCAAAAAUAGGGGUCAAAUCCCCUUUUUACCA
rnacentral:tRNA from 2 species